rnacentral:rRNA from 1 species
GACGAACGCUGGCGGCGUGCUUAACACAUGCAAGUCGAACGGUAAGGCCCUUCGGGGUACACGAGUGGUGAACGGGUGAGUAACACGUGGGUAAUCUGCCCUGCACAUCGGGAUAAGCCUGGGAAACUGGGUCUAAUACCGAAUAGGACCACAGGACACAUGUCCUGUGGUGGAAAGCUUUUGCGGUGUGGGAUGGGCCCGCGGCCUAUCAGCUUGUUGGUGGGGUGAUGGCCUACCAAGGCGACGACGGGUAGCCGGCCUGAGAGGGUGUCCGGCCACACUGGGACUGAGAUACGGCCCAGACUCCUACGGGAGGCAGCAGUGGGGAAUAUUGCACAAUGGGCGAAAGCCUGAUGCAGCGACGCCGCGUGGGGGAUGACGGCCUUCGGGUUGUAAACCUCUUUCACCAUCGACGAAGGUCCGGGUUUUCUCGGGCUGACGGUAGGUGGAGAAGAAGCACCGGCCAACUACGUG